UAAAUGGCAACUAUUUAUAUUUCAAUUGUAAGAUAGUUUUUGGUUUAUCUAGAAAAGGUCAAUACAUCUAACUCUUAGAUAUCAGAACUCUCCGACCCUAAAAAACCCUACUCUCCUAUUUGCCUCUCUCCCUCGCACCAAUCUGGGCCAAGCCGUCAGCGGCGUUUCGCCAGAUCGUCGUAGCCGGCAACUCCAUCUUCUCUCCUUUCUUUCUCCUUUUUUUGUCAGGUAUCCGAUGAAGCUCGUGAGGAGUUCGCUAAUCUCCGUCGUGCUUUUGAUAAAUGUGGAUCAAGUUCACCUAGGCUCCAGAUUUAGGAAGUGGUGCUCCAUAGGCCAAGAGAUCUUCAUGUAGAAAUAACAAUGCAUAUUAUAUCUAGGACUGCUCAUUAAUAAUUGUUGCUAGAAUUGACUAUCUUUUUGGGUUCAGUUGAAAUAUCUUCAUAAUAUUAAUACAUUUGAUGUACUAUUGGAAUAAUUUUUUUAAAUGAAUAUUUUGGUUAUUUUA